rnacentral:rRNA from 1 species
UAGUACCGUGAGGGAAAGGUGAAAAGAACCCCGGGAGGGGAGUGAAAUAGAACCUGAAACCCUGCACUUACAAGCUGUGGAAGCACAUUUCUUGUGUGACCGCGUACUUUUUGUAGAACGGGCCAACGAGUUACGUUAAGUAGCAAGGUUAAGCACUUAAGGUGCGGAGCCGUAGCGAAAGCGAGUUUUAACUGAGCGUUCAGUUACUUGACGUAGACCCGAAACCGGGCGACCUACCCAUGAGCAGGAUGAAGCGAAAGUAAAAUUUCGUGGAGGUCCGAACCCACGAGCGUUGAAAAGCUCGGGGAUGACUUGUGGGUAGCGGUGAAAUUCCAAUCGAGCCCGGAGAUAGCUGGUUCUCCCCGAAAUAGCUUUAGGGCUAGCCUCAAGGUGAGAGAUACGGAGGUAGAGCACUGAAUGUCCUAGGGGGUAUUGCACCUACCGAAGACUAUCAAACUCCGAAUGCCGUCAUCUUAUACUUGGGAGUCAGACUGUGGGUGAUAAGAUUCAUAGUCGAAAGGGCAACAGCCCAGAUCGUCAGCUAAGGUCCCUAAAUGUAAGUUAAGUGGUAAAGGAUGUGGGAUUGCACAGACAACCAGGAUGUUGGCUUAGAAGCAGCCACUCAUUCAAAGAGUGCGUAAUAGCUCACUGGUCGAGUGAUCCUGCGCCGAAGAUUUCCGGGGCUAAAACUUACUACCGAAGCUACGGCAUCAGUAAUGAUGGGUAGGGGAGCUUCCCAUACGGGUUGAAGCAUGACCGUAAGGACAUGUGGACAGUAUGGGAGUGAGAAUGUUGGCAUGAGUAGCGAGAUGUGGGUGAGAAUCCCACAGGCCGUAAACCCAAGGUUUCCAGGGGAAGGUUCGUCCGCCCUGGGUUAGUCGGGACCUAAGCUGAGGCCGAAAGGCGUAGGUGAUGGACAACAGGUUGAUAUUCCUGUACUACCGAUAACCGUUUGAGAGAAGGGAUGACACAGUAGGAUAAGCUAAGCACACUGUUGGUUAUGUGUGCCCAAGCAUUGAGGCAGUCAAAGUAGGCAAAUCCGCUUUGAUAAUGCUGGGAUGUGAUGGGGAGCGAAAUUUAGUAGCGAAGUAGCUGAUUUCACACUGUCAAGAAAAGUCUCUAUCGAGGUUAAAGGUACCCGUACCGCAAACCGACACAGGUGGGUGAGGAGAGUAUCCUAAGGCCAGCGAGAGAACUGUUGUUAAGGAACUCGGCAAAAUGACCCCGUAACUUAGGGAUAAGGGGUGCCACCAUCAGGUGGCCGCAGAGAAUAGGCCCAAGCGACUGUUUACCAAAAACAUAGGUUUCUGCUAAGUCGCAAGACGAUGUAUAGGAGCUGACGCCUGCCCGGUGCUGGAAGGUUAAGGGGAUCUGUUAGAGCAAUCGAAGCAGUGAACUUAAGCCCCAGUAAACGGCGGCCGUAACUAUAACGGUCCUAAGGUAGCGAAAUUCCUUGUCGGGUAAGUUCCGACCCGCACGAAAGGCGUAACGAUUUGGGCACUGUCUCAACAACAGACUCGGUGAAAUUGUAAUUCCGGUGAAGAUGCCGGAUACCUGCGACAGGACGGAAAGACCCCAUGGAGCUUUACUGUAGCUUGACAUUGGGUCUUGGUACUACAUGUACAGGAUAGGUGGGAGGCUUUGAAACCAGGACGCCAGUUUUGGCGGAGCCAUCCUUGGGAUACCACCCUUGUAGUACUGGGACUCUAACCAUAGGCCAUGAAUCUGGUCUUGGGACACUGUCAGGUGGGCAGUUUGACUGGGGCGGUCGCCUCCCAAAAGGUAACGGAGGCGCUCAAAGGUUCUCUCAGUACGGUCGGAAAUCGUACGUAGAGUGUAAAGGCAAAAGAGAGCUUGAUUGCAAGACAUACAGGUCGAGCAAGGAUGAAAAUCGGACUUAGUGAUCCGGUGGUUCUGCGUGGAAGGGCCAUCGCUCAACGGAUAAAAGCUACCCUGGGGAUAACAGGCUUAUCUCCCCCAAGAGUCCACAUCGACGGGGAGGUUUGGCACCUCGAUGUCGGCUCAUCACAUCCUGGGGCUGUAGUAGGUCCCAAGGGUUGGGCUGUUCGCCCAUUAAAGUGGUACGCGAGCUGGGUUCAGAACGUCGUGAGACAGUUCGGUCCCUAUCCGUCGCAGGCGUAGGAAAUUUGAGAAGACCUGUCCUUAGUACGAGAGGACCGGGAUGGACGUACCUCUGGUGUACCAGUUGUCCUGCCAAGGGCAUGGCUGGGUAGCUAUGUACGGAAUGGAUAAGCGCUGAAAGCAUCUAAGCGCGAAGCCAACUUCAAGAUAAGAUUUCCCACCGCAAGGGUAAGACCCCAGAAAGACUAUCUGGUUGA